AGAAAGGUUGGGAUUGAUUUUGGGAGUUUUGGUUUCAAUAGUGUAGGAAUUAGGGGCCAAAAAAGGGCCCAAAUAAGCAUUAUUCUUGGUUUUCGCACAAUAACUUUAGUUUAAGUAAAUAGAAAAUAAUGAAAUUUAAACACAAUGUUUAUGACCACAAAAGGAAGGUUGGUAUUGAUUUUGGGAGUUUAGGUCCCAACAGUUUAGGAAUUAGGGGCCAAAAAGGGACCCAAAUAAGCAUUUUUCUUGGUUUUCACACCAUAACUUUAGUAUAAGGAAAUAGAAAUCUAUGAAAUUUAAACACAAGGUUUAUGACCAUAAAAGGAAGGUUAGGCCACACCAAUUUGAUUCCUUGUUCGACGGACCCGCCCGCACCUAUUUUUUUCAAAACAGAAUUUUUUUAUUUUUUUUAUAUUCCCGCUUCCCGCAUCCGGAAAUGUAAUCAUGUCCAUUUCCCACACCGUUGUUUUUGUAAAUAUUAUAAAAAGAUAUCAACAUUUGUUUUAAAAUCACAGUCUAACCUGUAUAUAACGACUUUAAACAUAAAAUCACCCAACCACAAGGUGUAAAUAUCUGUGAGAAUAUUUGCUUCAGCAUGAAACCUAUUUAUCCAAAGAGGGAGUGCUCCGAUAUAAAUUUAUAACAGCGCGGAAAUACCUAUAAAGGACAAACAAUUGGUUUCUUUCCCCCUUACUUAUAUUCCCUAUCAAAACAUGUUCGCUGUUAGAAUAAAGUACGAAGAACUUCUGAAGGAUUUGCCUUCAACUGCAAUUAUAUUGUAUGCUGGCGAAACAAAACUAUCUAUAGCCACUGCAUGUUUAUGCACCUGUCCUGAUUGAUUCAUGGGCCUGUCGUUCAGCAGUUAUCGUUUGUUGAUGUUGUUCAUAUUUGGUAUUUUCCUGUUUGGAUAUAUAUAUAAAUUAGACCGUUGGUUUUCCUGUUCGAAUUGUGUACGCUAAUAAUUUUGGGGUACUUUAUAGCUUGCUGUUUGGUCUGUAUCAAAGCCCUGUGUAAAAGGCCGUACUUUGACCUGUGUUUGUUAUUAUCUGGUUGAGAACAACCCUCCCUCAGAUUAGGGGUCAUUUUAUUGAUGUAGAAAAGAAAACAGAAAUACCAAGGAUUUGUAUAGUUCUUCUAUACAAAACCUUUGAAAACUUAGAAUUUUGUACUCAAAAAGAGGAGAGUUGCAUCAUAGUUUAAACAACUUUUUCUAAAAGAGGGGUCCACUUAUUUUGAAUAAUAUUAAACUGUUAAAGUAAAUGUGUUAACAUGGUUAAAGUCCAGGAAAAUUACAAAAUUCUUGGACAUGUUUUGACCAUUUAAUACCAGAUAGAUAUAUAGUUCUUUGAGAAAAUAUGAGCUCUUUUAUACAAACAAAUAUAUUAUAACUUAUAUUGAUCCCUCAUAAAACAUGUAAAAGCGAUAUUUAUAACAUUAAGGGGUUGCCCCCAAACUGAUUAUGACUUGAAUGGAGAAUUGUCUCAUUGUCAGUCACACACACAUAGACCAGAUGUAACUAUUUCUUGGUGAACAGGGAAAAAAUACAUCAGAAAUUAAAGAAA